GUCUCAAGUCCAGCAGUCUACCUAGACUUCGAAUGGUUGAGCCAUCCGAUUUCCCUAGGCAUUUGCCAGACCGGCUACGGAUGUUUUAGACCCAAUAAUAGUGGCCCCCACUCGGGCUGCGGGUAUGACCGCGGCGGCUGGCACCCGUCUUACCCAGCCCUUACUCCUCCAGCUUUUUGGACUGGAGAACAGCCACCAGCAAAGCCGAUGGCACUUGGGAUUCCCUCGUCGGGCUUCCGCCCAUUGCGAAGGUUUCGCGCCUGCUGCGCCCCGUAGGGCCUGGACUCGUGUCUCAGAGUCCAUCUCCGGGCUCCGACUCCCAUCGCCGUACCCGUCGCAGGCUAGUAAGUCCGUUACACUUACUACUACCUGAUAGGCCAUGGACCCAUCCUCAAGCGCUAACGCUUUCAGCCUGGUAGCAUUCCAGCACUCCAGACCUAUGGGGUAUUGUCCUCAGUUUCCCGAGGUUAUCCCCCCCUUGAGGGCAGGUUAUCCAUGUUUUACUGAGCCGUGCGCCAUGGUUACCCUUGCGGGCACCAUUCGACUCGCAUGGCUUAAUCGAAUCCCAAUAGCAGUGGCCUCUGGCAGAAUCGACCAGAUCUGCAGCGGCCGCGGACCGCA
rnacentral:rRNA from 1 species